GAUUACUGCAGUGUGCACAG
rnacentral:piRNA from 1 species